GAGUGAAAUGAUGUUUUACCAUCUUUCGGGACUGAUGUAAUGAUGAGAAACCUCUUUACUGAUCACUC